rnacentral:misc_RNA from 1 species
GAUGAAGAACGCAGCGAAAUGCGAUAAGUAAUGUGAAUUGCAGAAUUCAGUGAAUCAUCGAAUCUUUGAACGCACAUUGCGCCCGCCAGCAGUCUGGCGGGCAUGCCUGUUCGAGCGUCAUUUCAACCAUCAAGCCCCCAGGGGCUUGUGCUGGGGCCCUGCGGCUGCCCGCAGGCCCUGAAAACCAGUGGCGGGCUCGCUAGUCACACCGAGCGCAGUAGCACAUCUCGCUCAGGGCGUGCGGCGGGCUCCUGCCGUGAAACCCCCCACUGUAACCCCAAAGGUUGACCUCGGAUCAGGUAGGAAUACCCGCUGAACUUAAGCAUAUCAAUAAGCGGAGGA